UUUCCGUAGGUGAACCUGCGGAAGGAUCAUUAAUGAGUUGUCAUGGGGUUCGAUGCUGGCAGCCAAUUUUUGGAUGCAUGUGCUUGCCCUAACAAUCAUCUUCCAAACACCUGUGCACAUUUUUGAAGGAGUCUUGAGUUGGUUGCCGCUCUUGGGUGAUUUUCUCACAUUCCCUUAAAUCAUUAUACGCUAUUAACAAUGUUGAACGUGCUCUGUGCCGCAAGGCUAUUAAUAUAAUACAACUUUUAACAACGGAUCUCUUGGCUCUC
rnacentral:misc_RNA from 1 species